rnacentral:tRNA from 1 species
GGUUCCGUAGUGUAGUGGUUAUCACGUUCGCUUCACACGCGAAAGGUCUCCGGUUUGAUCCCGGACGGAACCA